GCAGGGCCAGCAACUGGUUCUCUAGCAGUGCUGCUUAGGACCCACGUGCUCAGCGUGGAACUCACGUGUCGGCGAAUGCGGAAGAAAAUCGGGAAAACCGAUGUGGCAUGCUCUUCCCAGGCAACUGUGCUGGGACAGGGUCCCGCAAACGUCGCGGGAGAAAAACCGAAGACAUGAGGUGCUCCCAGUGCGGUCCAACAGGCGUAUUUUAAAUAUAUGUCCCCAGGUCCAUGACUGAAGAAAAUUCUGGAAGGACUCCCAGGAAGUUAUUUCUUUUUUCUGCUUGCUGUGAUAUUGAGGUAACUGUUUUGCCAUUUAAAUGCAUUCUAUCAUUUGUUACUGAUAAUGAUGACGGCGGCGGCGGCAAAGUGAUGAUAUCUGGGAUGUAAGAAUAUGGAAAUUUUAUUUGCUUGCCUUUCCUUUGCUUACUUUCUGAGUUUUUUAAGCACACGUUGCUACCAAGAGGAUAGUUCGGUACUGGGGUGGGAGACACAACUGAGCCACAGGACAGCUGGCACCUUGUGAUUGCUUAAUAUUGCCCUUGAGGUACCAGGAUGCAUGGGGCCCUGGCCGCCUUGGUACCUACCUGGUGCCAGUCUGUUGGAGCCUCAGUAGGGUCAAGGGGCAGAGCUCUGGGAACAGUAGCAGGGUUCUCGGGUCACAAAGGAUGUUCCAAUCAUCUUGGGCUCUGCUCCUCAUUUUUCUGACAGUCUUGUUGGAGAUGGCCCUGACAUAGCAAACAGGACAAGGUUAGAAAGCACCAAAGCUCCAUUCAAACCAUCUGCAUCUGAUACUAGGGUGACCUUGGGCCAGUGACUGGGUAUCUCUGGGCCUUAGGUUUUCCGUUUAUUAGACAGCAGUUGCAAUAUCUUUGCUAUGAAAGUUAGCACUGAUGCCUUUAAGCCAUCCAGCAAAAGACAGCCACGUGGUGGGUAUUACACACCCCCACCCGGCUUCCCUGUCCACAGAACGAAAUAAACUAGAUAUAUGAGUAGAAUUUUUAAAAACGAAACUAAAGCGAGACCAGCAGCAGCUUGGGGACUGCUGCCUAGCUUUCCCAGACCCAUCUCCAAACCGAUAGGGACAGCGGUCUUCUCCUCAUCGCCACGCCCUCCCCGUGGCACAGGCCCCGCCUCCCAGCCCUGCAGUUCCUACGCGCUCUCAAAGGUCGGCGACAUUGUGCUUUGGACGACAACCUAUCUUUUUGGCUUUCCCAGCCUUGACUGUCAAAUCCUAGAUAAACUGAGCCAGCCUGCUCCUGACACUCACAGAGCAACUCCAGAGAAAGGAAAAGCUCGCGCCGUCUCCCUCAUUGCAAAACAAAGAUGGGGAAUUCUCUGAGCCCAAGAAUGCUGUUGGCUGGGAACAGGCAGGCUCUUGGAAAUAAACUAGUAAAUUGCCAAACAUUAAGGCAGAGACUGCCUGAGGGAGCCGUCGGCCUGCGAGGGAAGUUGAAAGGCCACAAGGGACUGGAGAGAUAGCUCACUGGGCAGGGUGCUCACAGUAUGCAAGGGGCCCUGGGUUUGUUUCCAGCACCAAGUGAACGGGGUCUAGUGGCAUUCAGGAGGGGCAGUCAGAAAGCUCAGAACAAGAUCUCAUCCUUAGCAUCACAGUAAGAUGGAGGCCACCCUGGGCUACAGGAGACCCUGUCUCUAAAAUU
rnacentral:lncRNA from 1 species